rnacentral:rRNA from 1 species
UACGUAGGGUGCAAACGUUGUUCGGAAUUACUGGGCGUAAAGCGCGUGUAGGCUGCUUCGAAAGUCGGAUGUGAAAGCCCUGGGCUCAACCUAGGAAGUGCAUUCGAAACUUCGAAGCUUGAGUUCUGGAGAGGAAGGCGGAAUUCUCGGUGUAGAGGUGAAAUUCGUAGAUAUCGAGAGGAACACCGGUGGCGAAGGCGGCCUUCUGGACAGUGACUGACGCUGAGACGCGAAAGCGUGGGGAGCAAACAGG